CACGUAGGGCGCAAGCGUUGUCCGGAAUUAUUGGGCGUAAAGAGCUCGUAGGCGGACUGUUGCGUCCGCUGUGAAAAGCUGGGGCUUAACCCUGGCCUUGCAGUGGAUACGGGCAGACUAGAGGUAGGUAGGGGAGAAUGGAAUUCCCGGUGUAGCGGUGAAAUGCGCAGAUAUCGGGAGGAACACCGGUGGCGAAGGCGGUUCUCUGGGCCUUACCUGACGCUGAGGAGCGAAAGCGUGGGGAGCAAACAGG
rnacentral:rRNA from 1 species